rnacentral:rRNA from 1 species
GACGAACGCUGGCGGCGUGCUUAACACAUGCAAGUCGAACGGAAAGGCCCUGCUUUUUGGGGGUGCUCGAGUGGCGAACGGGGGAGUAACACGUGAGUAACCUGCCCUUGACUUUGGGAUAACUUCAGGAAACUUGGGCUAAUACCGGAUAGGAGCUCCUGCUGCAUGGUGGGGGUGGGAAAGUUUCGGCGGUCGGGGGUGGACUCGCGGCUUGUCAGCUUGAUGGUUGGGUAGUGGCUUACCAAGGCUUUGACCGGUAGCCGGCCUGGGAGGGUGACCGGCCCCAUUAGGCCUGAGCUGAGGCACAGCCUACUACGGGACGCAGCGGUGCGGAGUAUUGCACAAUGGGCGGAGGCCUGAUGCAGCCCAGCCGCGUGCGGGAUGUCGGCCUGCGGGUAGUAUACCACUUUCGCCUGUCACGAAACGUGAGUGACGGUAAUGGGUAAAGAAGCACCGGCUAACUACGUG